rnacentral:lncRNA from 1 species
UCACGUCUGUGUGUUUCAUAUGAUGUGUUUUUGAGCUAAAACCCACCCAUACAUCUUUUGGGAUUUGUUGAAUUCAGGGUUUUCCUGGUGACAUCGGACCACCUGGACAAAACGGCCCUGAAGGACCAAAGGGCAAAAUCGGAGCAAGAGGGUUACCGGGACCUCGUGGGGCUUCAGGACUAGAGGGAGAGGAGGGACCUGUUGGACCACCUGGGCCGGCGGGACUUGAGGUGAGCUUCUAAAACAGUUCAUAAAAUAAAAGAGAGGAUCAGCAUGGGUCUCA